UACAGGCUUAACACAUGCAAGUCGAGGGGCAGCAUGGUCUUAGCUUGCUAAGGCCGAUGGCGACCGGCGCACGGGUGAGUAACACGUAUCCAACCUGCCGUCUACUCUUGGACAGCCUUCUGAAAGGAAGAUUAAUACAAGAUGGCAUCAUGAGUCCGCAUGUUCACAUGAUUAAAGGUAUUCCGGUAGACGAUGGGGAUGCGUUCCAUUAGAUAGUAGGCGGGGUAACGGCCCACCUAGUCUUCGAUGGAUAGGGGUUCUGAGAGGAAGGUCCCCCACAUUGGAACUGAGACACGGUCCAAACUCCUACGGGAGGCAGCAGUGAGGAAUAUUGGUCAAUGGGCGAGAGCCUGAACCAGCCAAGUAGCGUGAAGGAUGACUGCCCUAUGGGUUGUAAACUUCUUUUAUAAAGGAAUAAAGUCGGGUAUGGAUACCCGUUUGCAUGUACUUUAUGAAUAAGGAUCGGCUAACUCCGUGCCAGCAGCCGCGGUAAUACGGAGGAUCCGAGCGUUAUCCGGAUUUAUUGGGUUUAAAGGGAGCGUAGAUGGAUGUUUAAGUCAGUUGUGAAAGUUUGCGGCUCAACCGUAAAAUUGCAGUUGAUACUGGGUAUCUUGAGUGCAGUUGAGGCAGGCGGAAUUCGUGGUGUAGCGGUGAAAUGCUUAGAUAUCACGAAGAACUCCGAUUGCGAAGGCAGCCUGCUAAGCUGCAACUGACAUUGAGGCUCGAAAGUGUGGGUAUCAAACAGGAUUAGAUACCCUGGUAGUCCACACGGUAAACGAUGAAUACUCGCUGUUUGCGAUAUACUGCAAGCGGCCAAGCGAAAGCGUUAAGUAUUCCACCUGGGGAGUACGCCGGCAACGGUGAAACUCAAAGGAAUUGACGGGGGCCCGCACAAGCGGAGGAACAUGUGGUUUAAUUCGAUGAUACGCGAGGAACCUUACCCGGGCUUAAAUUGCAGAUGAAUUACGGUGAAAGCCGUAAGCCGCAAGGCAUCUGUGAAGGUGCUGCAUGGUUGUCGUCAGCUCGUGCCGUGAGGUGUCGGCUUAAGUGCCAUAACGAGCGCAACCCUUGUUGUCAGUUACUAACAGGUUCCGCUGAGGACUCUGACAAGACUGCCAUCGUAAGAUGUGAGGAAGGUGGGGAUGACGUCAAAUCAGCACGGCCCUUACGUCCGGGGCUACACACGUGUUACAAUGGGGGGUACAGAGGGCCGCUACCACGCGAGUGGAUGCCAAUCCCCAAAACCUCUCUCAGUUCGGACUGGAGUCUGCAACCCGACUCCACGAAGCUGGAUUCGCUAGUAUCGCGCAUCAGCCACGGCGCGGUGAAUACGUUCCCGGGCCUUGUACACACCGCCCGUCAAGCCAUGGGAGCCGGGGGUACCUGAAGUGCGUAACCGCGAGGAGCGCCCUAGGGUAAAACUGGUGACUGGGGCUAAA
rnacentral:rRNA from 1 species